ensembl:snRNA U6 U6 spliceosomal RNA
GUGCUCGCUUUGGCAGCACAUAUACUAAAAUUAGAAAGAUACAGAAAAGAUUAGCAUGGUCUCAGCACAAGGAUGACAUGCAAAUUCACAAAGUGUUCCAUAAUUUU